AGCGGUGUAGUUCAAUGGUUAGAACGGUGGAAUCAUAUCCCACAUAAGUGGGUUCAAUUCCCACCGCCGUUA
rnacentral:tRNA from 1 species